UGUAUAUAUUCAGCUAUACUAAACAAAAGGAAUAUUGCACCAGUUUUAUCUCAGCUUCUAAAGCUUCAACCUGUUUGAAGAAAUGACUAGUAUUUUUGUAAUGCCAGGAACUGUGAUGAGAAAAAUCAAAGGAUAAUUAAUCCACAGAGAGAAAAAGACCAGCGCAGAGAGACAGGCCUGACUAUUAAAUGUUCCUCAUCAGCUCUGCAGAGAGGAGAAUACGCUGCAGAAAUGAGGACUCCACAGAGGAGGACACUCAUCAAGGGAAGAAAUGCUCCUAUGCAACAGUGUGUAGGCAAUUGCUUGGUACACAGAAUCUGUGCAAGAGCAAAUUAAGAGCGAUAUUUCACAGUGGGUGAGGGCAGCAUGGCUUCACGGAGAGGGGCACGUUCUCUCUCAAGUACCGCAAAGACACGGCACUUCAUGUCCCAAAUGUCUGGCUUCUCAUCUUGACUCUGGCAGGUCCUAGAGAUCUUCAGAUGAACAAAUAAGAAAGCUACCAGCUUAAUCCAGUGGAACCCAAGUGACUAUCUGAUGAAAAACCUUGUACCAGGGAAGCCAGACCAAUGAAGUAGCUCCAAAAUAGAGCCACAAACACCCCUGUGCCUUCCUGGGUGCCCCCCCCCCGUCCCCCUGAGGCCGAGAGAUCUGUCCCUUCUGUUCCUCUCCAGUACUUUAACAUCCUGGGCAACACAGUAGACCAGACAGAUGAACGAGUGAAUGAAAAAACUGAGUAGAAUUCAAUGCCUCUACUAGCUGCAGAGAACAGACUGUCCCUUUAGCCUGCACACAGGUGUCUGGAAUAUGCCUGCCUCUUUUCUUCCUUAUUUUAAGCAGAAAAUAAAUAUCACCUUCUA